AUUAUGAGAGUUUGAUCCUGGCUCAGGACGAACGCUGGCGGCGUGCCUAAUACAUGCAAGUCGAACGCUUCUUUCCUCCCGAGUGCUUGCACUCAAUUGGAAAGAGGAGUGGCGGACGGGUGAGUAACACGUGGGUAACCUACCCAUCAGAGGGGGAUAACACUUGGAAACAGGUGCUAAUACCGCAUAACAGUUUAUGCCGCAUGGCAUAAGAGUGAAAGGCGCUUUCGGGUGUCGCUGAUGGAUGGACCCGCGGUGCAUUAGCUAGUUGGUGAGGUAACGGCUCACCAAGGCCACGAUGCAUAGCCGACCUGAGAGGGUGAUCGGCCACACUGGGACUGAGACACGGCCCAGACUCCUACGGGAGGCAGCAGUAGGGAAUCUUCGGCAAUGGACGAAAGUCUGACCGAGCAACGCCGCGUGAGUGAAGAAGGUUUUCGGAUCGUAAAACUCUGUUGUUAGAGAAGAACAAGGACGUUAGUAACUGAACGUCCCCUGACGGUAUCUAACCAGAAAGCCACGGCUAACUACGUGCCAGCAGCCGCGGUAAUACGUAGGUGGCAAGCGUUGUCCGGAUUUAUUGGGCGUAAAGCGAGCGCAGGCGGUUUCUUAAGUCUGAUGUGAAAGCCCCCGGCUCAACCGGGGAGGGUCAUUGGAAACUGGGAGACUUGAGUGCAGAAGAGGAGAGUGGAAUUCCAUGUGUAGC
rnacentral:rRNA from 1 species